AAUCAAGUAAGCUAAAAAAGCUAUUGGGUUCAUACCCCAUUGAUGGACUGUAAACCCUUGAUUA
rnacentral:tRNA from 1 species